rnacentral:rRNA from 1 species
UACGUAGGGUGCAAGCGUUGUCCGGAAUUAUUGGGCGUAAAGAGCUCGUAGGCGGUUUGUCGCGUCUGCUGUGAAAACUCAGGGCUUAACCCUGAGCCUGCAGUGGGUACGGGCAGACUAGAGUGUGGUAGGGGAGAUCGGAAUUCCUGGUGUAGCGGUGGAAUGCGCAGAUAUCAGGAGGAACACCGGUGGCGAAGGCGGAUCCCUGGGCCAUAACUGACGCUGAGGAGCGAAAGCAUGGGGAGCGAACAGG